rnacentral:rRNA from 1 species
AGAGGUGGCAAGCGUUGUUCGGAAUUACUGGGCGUAAAGGGCGCGUAGGCGGUCCGAUAAGUCCCGUGUGAAAUCCCUCGGCUCAACUGAGGAACCGCACGGGAAACUGCCGGGCUUGAGUUCGGGAGAGGGAAGCGGAAUUCCGGGUGUAGCGGUGAAAUGCGUAGAUAUCCGGAGGAACACCGGUGGCGAAGGCGGCUUCCUGGACCGACACUGACGCUGAGGCGCGAAAGCUAGGGGAGCAAACGGGAUUAGAUACCCCGGUAGUCCUAGCUGUAAACGAUGAGUGCUGGGUGUAGGGGGUAUUAACCCCCCCUGUGCCGAAGCUAACGCAUUAAGCACUCCGCCUGGGGAGUACGGUCGCAAGGCUG